GGCUGGAUGGCCGAGCGGUCUAAGGCGCCAGAUUCAAGUGUUCACGCACUUUCCUCUCUGAAGAGUUGGGAUAACCUGGUCUCGUAAGAGGCGCGCGUUCGAAUCGCGCUCCAGUCA